rnacentral:rRNA from 1 species
GGACGGGUGAGUAAUGCCUAGGAAUCUGCCUGGUAGUGGGGGACAACGUUUCGAAAGGAACGCUAAUACCGCAUACGUCCUACGGGAGAAAGCAGGGGACCUUCGGGCCUUGCGCUAUCAGAUGAGCCUAGGUCGGAUUAGCUAGUUGGUGAGGUAAUGGCUCACCAAGGCGACGAUCCGUAACUGGUCUGAGAGGAUGAUCAGUCACACUGGAACUGAGACACGGUCCAGACUCCUACGGGAGGCAGCAGUGGGGAAUAUUGGACAAUGGGCGAAAGCCUGAUCCAGCCAUGCCGCGUGUGUGAAGAAGGUCUUCGGAUUGUAAAGCACUUUAAGUUGGGAGGAAGGGUUGUAGAUUAAUACUCUGCAAUUUUGACGUUACCGACAGAAUAAGCACCGGCUAACUCUGUGCCAGCAGCCGCGGUAAUACAGAGGGUGCAAGCGUUAAUCGGAAUUACUGGGCGUAAAGCGCGCGUAGGUGGUUUGUUAAGUUGGAUGUGAAAUCCCCGGGCUCAACCUGGGAACUGCAUUCAAAACUGACAAGCUAGAGUAUGGUAGAGGGUGGUGGAAUUUCCUGUGUAGCG